GAGUGCAGGGUGAAGGAAUCAAGGGGGGGGGAGGGGAGUGAACAUCUGCAAUACUCUCAACAAUAAAGAUAAACUUAAAAAAAAUUAAAAGUUUGAGUAGGACAUGGAGCAGUUGAAGACUAGUCACAGCCAUUCUAAAGAGACAGUAGGACAUAUCUCAGAAGGGUGAAGGUGAAGAUAUCCAUGGCUUUCUUACUGGAAUAAACCUGGUCAAGAUGUUGAAUCAGCACUCUCCUCUGCUUUGUUUUCUGUACGUUUAAACUCAAAGAUUAGAAAGCAGAAAAUCAUAAUGUUCUUCAGAAAUAAAAGACAGCUCGGUGUUUUGGAAAGUAGCCUAACCAGCACCUGCCGGGUAGCAAGGCUUGUGUUUUGUCCCAGCAUGAUCACAGAGCUCGACAGAACACAUACCAAACUUCUUCUGAAGCUUAUAUGUAUUUGUCUGCUAAAAAGAGGUAGGCAACACCUAAGGUAAAUCAAACCACUUUGGAUCUUCUCUAGUGAGGUCACCUUGUAUUUAUUCCCAUAUUCUCAGAUAAGUUUGCAUGUAAAACGUCUUUGUUCUCCGGAUCCUGCUCAGCACAUGUCACUGCAGAAUUACGAUGUGUGCAUCUAACAGGACACGCGUGGGACAGAUACUGUCCUGGCGGUCUCUCAGUGCUGUUGUCAGAGAUGAUCAGUGAACAGCAGACAUUCUGCCUGCCGGAUAGUUUCCAGGACACUGGUGGUGUAGUCAGGGAGAGCAGCGCCCUUCCUGCCCUCAGCCCAUUUGCACAUUGGGCCCCAUCAGAAUUAUUUAUCAUUCCAGUGGGUUUUCCUGGAAUGCUGCAGGCAUUGUGGGGCCUGCUGCCUCCCUGGCUGCCUCCUGGCUCAGGUACAGAGUGAUUUUUCAGUCCCCAGUUUACUAGGCCUUAAAACCUGAACAGAAUUUCUCAGAAUUUCAAUGUUCUCUAAUAUAUCAGAUGUAGAGUCGUUAAAAAAAAGAAAGCAUCUUUUUCGUGUGUGACCUUAAGGAGAAAUUUAAAUUAUGAAGUCAUCUCUUCCAUGUCCCCACAGUUCCCAGCUAAAAUUGGGGGGCGGGAUAAAUUUACCAUCAACACAUCCCUUUGCCUAAACCUUCACCCAAAAGCCCCAAAGUCUAACCAACUUCUCCCUUUUCUUAGCGCCUCCCGAGCUGAAGGUGAAGACUAGUCACAGACAUUCUAAGUGCUGCCUCCCUUAAGGUUGUGGAUUUGGCCAAGUUAAUGUGCAUAACUUAACCAGGGAAAGCUCCUUCACCCGACCUGCUAACAGGCCCAAGCAGGUCAUGCGCUCCUCGAAGUAAAGAGUGAACACAGAAGAGAAACCACUGGCAGCCUGGAGUGAUCCCAAGACCUAAAAGAGGAAGUGGAUCAAAAUAGAGGAGUGGACUUGGAUGAUGCUGUCAUGCACUGUGUGCGAGAGCACCCUCCCCCGCCCCCCAGCUCUGGGGCUGUCCUGGGAGAUGGUGCUCAGCAGGCAGCCCUGUUGGGAGGUGGCUCCAGCUGAAGAAAACCACCUUGCCAAUCCAUGCCGCCUUCCGAGGGCUGCCUGCACCUGUGAGGUGUGGCCCCAUCUUUUCACCCCAGUGCGGAGCAGCUUCUUCCCACUCCAGAGCUCUAUGCAGGCUGACUGCGGCCUUUCUGGUAGGACAUUGCAUCUCAGCUUCUCUUCCUGCCCAAUCCUGCUUCCUUCCCCUGACUCCAGUAUUUGGCCUGAGAGUACUCCCUAACAAACACCCCGCUUAGAGGCUGGGGGAGGAGAACAUCACAUCAUAGCCCUGUACCCAAAAGCAUGUCCUCAGAGGCAAGACGCAUUUGUUUUCAGAGCUCAUUGCUUUGAGGCACUCAGCAUUUUUAGAUGCUAUGGUUCAAAAAUGAUCAAGAAACAGUUUUGUGUUUCUGCAUGUAAGGAAGCAAAGGAACAGUAUCUCAAAGGAACCACAUCACCUACUUACCAUCAACCUGGAUGUUGGAAUGUCAUCCCAAACAUCCCUGUUUACUUCCCUAUAAACCUGUCCUCCUCCAGAUUUCACCAUUUAGAGUCUUGGUUAUACCAUUUCCCUAACCUCUGAGCUUAGAAACUCUCCAGUGAUCUUCGACUCCCACUCAAUGCACCCUAUCCACCCCUGCCCUUUGUACACUCUUCCUUCCAUCCUCCAAUUAUUCCUCCAUCCACCCCUUUCCCUGCCUUUUACCUGAGUCCUCCUAGGACUCUUGGCCUUUCUUUUCUAUUUUUUUUUUAAAUUUUUAGUUUUUAAUUGAUUUUUAGGGGGGGGGGAAGAACGCAUCAAUGUGGAAGCGAAACAUGAAUUGGCCGCCUCCUACACGCCCCCUACUGGGGAUCAAGCACUCAACCUGGGCAUGUGCCCUGACCAGGAAUCAAAUCAGCAACCUUUCUGUGCACAGGAUGACGCCUAAGCACCUGAGCCACAGCAGUCAGGACUCUUGGCCUUUCUUUUCUCUCCUACUUCCAUACACUACAGCCAGGCAACUCAUCCUUUGGUACAAUUCUUACCUUGUAACAGGGGAAUAUGAGUCACGGUGAUAGAAAGCUUAAAAAACCAGCACAUGAUUUGCCCUGUAUCCUUUCUCUGUGCCCUGGGACCAGGAACAUUCUAGAUAGAUGCUGCUUUGCCAGCCUGCAUGCUCAGAGUGGUGAUGACCAGCAGUGAAUGACUCAUGCAAACAAGAAGGAGCUCUGUGUGACUGGAAGCCCCUGAGGUUUGGAGCACUGUGAAAGUUCGCUGCUAGUAACUGUCCUGCUGGUAGCCUUUCCUGAAGGUACACUGGACCACCCAGAGUGCCCCGAGUCUCAGAAGUAAUGUUCACAUGUGACAAGUGAUGCUGUGCUGUUUUACAGUGUUCAACUGGAAGGACAGUUCAUGAACUUUGGAAUAACCCAGCACUGUGCACUGCUACCCAGGGGAGGAGUCAGACAAAGCUAUCUGCUUUUCACCUACUGCUUCAAUUUUCAGAAAAUUGCCCAAAGUUAUUGCAAACUGUUUGCAUUUUUGUUGGCUUGGCAAAGGGAGUUGGCAGUAUCCAAUAAUCCCUUGUUUAAAGCCACGUCACUAUUUAUGCAGAGAACACAAAUGUUACAAGGAGACUUCUUAGAAUGCUGGCAAGAAGAGGAGGCCAAACGGGAACAGUUGUUUGUAAACAAAGGGAUAGGAGACCACAUUGCCUCAGUGUCUGACUUUGGGACUUUUUAUUACAUAAUUGAUUAAAAUGACAAGUCCCAUGUCCUGUAAGCUUGGAGUGGGUUUUACUCUCUGCCUUUCAGGAAGAAGCCAUGCAUUUAGCUCUGCACCCCAGACAGAGUUCUUGAACUAGUCCUGAGCAGUCUCGCUGGGAGCGCCUCCUGCUGCAGCUCUGCAAAGUCUUUCACUGAAGAAACUCAGAACAUGAUGAAAGUUAAGUCAGAAAAGUGUGUGCAGCUCUGCAAACAAAAAGGAAAAAUCCAGGUUUAUGUGCCCUGUUGCUAAUACCAAAGAAUUUGUCACUUUACAAAGAAAGUUGAACUCAAUUCCUUUAAAGUUGGGGUGUAGUGUGAGCAUUCAACAUGCAAUUUCAUUCCCAGAGUAUUCCAUCUUAACUCCUCACCCGUAUAAGCAGCUUACAAGGUUAGAUUUUUUAAAUAGGGUUAAAUAUUCAAGUGCAGUGGUGGGGAAGCAGCACCCAUUUCCUCCAAUUUCUUUAUGACCACAGCUUCAUGAGUUCAGUGGCUUUUUAAAAAAUGCAACUUUUCUUACUCUGAAUUUACCAUAACCAAAAAGGCCACUGGGCAGCCACUGAUGGUUCUAAGUCAGAGCAGAAAGAAGGAAACAAUUACUUAGGGUCAGAAGAACGUUCAGUGGUUACCUGGGCCAACCUCACUUUGCAGACAAGAUGACGGAGGCCAUCUCAGCAGAGUGAGGGGAAUGAAAUGCCACUUCCAGACCACAGGCCUGCACUCAGAUGCUGAUUCUGAAAUACGAAAGAAACAGGCGGCCAAAUGCCUGUGGACUGAGAGAAACACAGAUUCUUGUAUGUGCCAGGAUGGGGGAUGGAACCUGCAACCUUAGGGAUGACACUCGAACCAACUGAGCAAAGACCUGAAGUCCAGAAGCAAAUAAACACUUGGAUACUUCAAGAUCCCUCUCUCAACUCUCAUGCAGCCAUAAUUAAAACUUUGGGGGCUAUGCAUUGUCUAUCAUUUCAAACAUGCAGACUGUAUUUGAACCACAGUUUAUAGCUCAGGGGAUCUGGGCCGGUUCCCUUUUUUCUUUUUAAUGAGUACGCCUGUCUCUAAACACCGCAGAGGGGCAGAGUUCUCAAAUACAGUGCCAGGGCCAAGGAUGCCCCCACCCACCCACAGUUCUUCAUCGCGGACAAUUCCUCCGUCUUUGGUUACUCUGCAAGUGAAGUCCCCUUCGCACCAAA